GAUGAACGCUGGCGGCGUGCUUAACACAUGCAAGUCGAACGGUGAAGGCGGAGCUUGCUCUGCUGGAUCAGUGGCGAACGGGUGGGUAACACGUGAGCAAUCUGCCCCUGACUCUGGGAUAAGCGCUGGAAACGGCGUCUAAUACUGGAUACGAGCUGCGAAGGCAUCUUCAGCAGCUGGAAAGAACUUCGGUCAGGGAUGAGCUCGCGGCCUAUCAGCUUGUUGGUGAGGUAACGGCUCACCAAGGCGUCGACGGGUAGCCGGCCUGAGAGGGUGACCGGCCACACUGGGACUGAGACACGGCCCAGACUCCUACGGGAGGCAGCAGUGGGGAAUAUUGCACAAUGGGCGAAAGCCUGAUGCAGCAACGCCGCGUGAGGGACGACGGCCUUCGGGUUGUAAACCUCUUUUAGCAGGGAAGAAGCGAAAGUGACGGUACCUGCAGAAAAAGCGCCGGCUAACUACGUG
rnacentral:rRNA from 1 species